AACGAACGCUGGCGGCAUGCCUAACACAUGCAAGUCGAACGAGACCUUCGGGUCUAGUGGCGCACGGGUGCGUAACGCGUGGGAACCUGCCCUUAGGUUCGGAAUAACUCCCCGAAAGGGGUGCUAAUACCGGAUAAUGUCUUCGGACCAAAGAUUUGUCGCCUUUGGAUGGGCCCGCGUUGGAUUAGCUAGUUGGUAGGGUAAAAGCCUACCAAGGCGACGAUCCAUAGCUGGUCUGAGAGGAUGAUCAGCCACACUGGGACUGAGACACGGCCCAGACUCCUACGUGAGGCAGCAGUGGGGAAUAUUGGACAAUGGGCGAAAGCCUGAUCCAGCAAUGCCGCGUGAGUGAUGAAGGCCUUAGGGUUGUAAAGCUCUUUUACCCGGGAUGAUAAUGACAGUACCGGGAGAAUAAGCUCCGGCUAACUCCGUG
rnacentral:rRNA from 1 species